rnacentral:rRNA from 1 species
UACGAAGGGGGGCUAGCGUUGCUCGGAAUCACUGGGCGUAAAGCGCACGUAGGCGGAUUGUUAAGUCAGGGGUGAAAUCCUGGAGCUCAACUCCAGAACUGCCUUUGAUACUGACGGUCUUGAGUUCGGGAGAGGUGAGUGGAACUGCGAGUGUAGAGGUGAAAUUCGUAGAUAUUCGCAAGAACACCAGUGGCGAAGGCGGCUCACUGGCCCGAUACUGACGCUGAGGUGCGAAAGCGUGGGGAGCAAACAGG